rnacentral:rRNA from 1 species
CCUGACUGCUAUCGGAUUGGUACUAAGCCAUGUGAGUCGUUGUAGCAAUACAAGGCAUACGGCUCAGUAACACGUAGUCAAUCUAACCUAUGGACGGGGAUAACCUCAGGAAACUGAGGAUAAACCCCGAUAGAUCAUUAUGCCUGGAACGGUUUAUGGUCCAAAUGAUUCGUCGCCGUAGGGUGGGACUGCGGCCUAUCAGCUUGUUGGUGAGGUAAUGGCCCACCAAGGCUAUUACAGGUACGGGCUCUGAGAGGAGAAGCCCGGAGAUGGGUACUGAGACACGGACCCAGGCCCUAUGGGGCGCAGCAGGCGAGAAACCUUUGCAAUGUGCGCAAGCACGACAAGGUUAAUCCGAGUGUUUCCUGCUAAAGGAAUCUUUUGUUAGUUGUAAAACCACUGAUGAAUAAGGGGUGGGCAAGUUCUGGUGUCAGCCGCCGCGGUAAAACCAGCACCUCAAGUGGUCAGGAUGAUUAUUGGGCCUAAAGCAUCCGUAGCCUGUUCUAUAAGUUUCCGGUUAAAUCCAUUAGCUCAACUAAUGGGCUGCCGAAAAUACUGUAGAACUAGGGAGUGGGAGAGGUAGACGGUACUCGGUAGGAAGGGGUAAAAUCCUUUGAUCUAUUGAUGACCACCUGUGGCGAAGGCGGUCUACCAGAACACGUUCGACGGUGAGGGAUGAAAGCUGGGGGAGCAAACCGGAUUAGAUACCCGGGUAGUCCCAGCUGUAAACGAUGCAGACUCGGUGAUGCCCUGGCUUGUGGCCAGUGCAGUGCCGCAGGGAAGCCGUUAAGUUUGCCGCCUGGGAAGUACGUACGCAAGUAUGAAACUUAAAGGAAUUGGCGGGGGAGCACCACAAGGGGUGAAGCCUGCGGUUC